rnacentral:rRNA from 1 species
AGAUGUGGUGUUGGAAGCCUCCCGUCGAUGCACUGAACUGAAAUGGAAAUCGCCUGGAAUGGCGUUCCCAAGAGGGUGAGAGACCCGUACAUGUAAGGGUCAGUGUAUCCGGGAGUGUCUUGAGUAGUGCGGGUCGGUAUUCUCGCAUGAAUCCGGGGGUCAUCAACCUCCAAAACUAAAUACUUCUCGAAACCGAUAGCGAACUAGUAGCGUGAGCGAAAGCUGAAAAGGAUCCCGAAAAAGGAUGUGAAAAGCGCCUGAAACUAGUCGGUGAUAGCGUGUUAUGGCAUGCAAGGAUCUUCUGCGUGAAGGAACCCGUCGCGAGGCGGUAGUACGGGCGUCAGUUGCCGAUGUCAUAACGUACGUUUUGAAGAACGGGCCAGAGAGUUUAUUCUGCAGGCGAGGUUAACCCGGAAGGGGAGCCGUAGCGAAAGCAACAGGUUCGUAGCAUUCGUGCCUGGAACGGCGUAUUCAACGUGCGUGGAGUCUGCAGGAUAAGACCUGAAACCCGGUGAUCUAUGCGUGGGCAGGUUGAAGCGUGCCGAAAGGUGCGUGGAGGACCGCAAGCGGUAUUGAUAUGCAAAUCAUUCGCGUGACCUGUGUAUAGGAGUGAAAGAUUCAUCGAACCGGGAGUCAGCUGGUUCCCCUCGAAACAUGCCGCAGCAUGACCUCGUCGGAGAUGGUUGGUGAGGUAGAGCACUGAUUGGAGAUCCCGGGGGAGAAAUCCCUCGCUCUCCUGUCAAACUCCAAACUCCCCAACGUCGGAGAUGGCGGGCAGUCCGGGCUACGGGGUAAGCUUGUAGUCCGUAAGGGAGACAACCCAGACCGUGGUUGAUGCCCCCCAAUGUAGGCUAAGUGUCAACACUGAAUGAGGUCCCAGGCCACAGACAACUGGGAGGUGAGCUUAGAAGCAGCUACCCUUUAAAAAGUGCGUAACAGCUUACCAGUCAAGGUUUGGGGCGCAGAAAAUGGACGGGGCUCAAGCCUACUGCAGAGACCACGGCGCACCAUUUCGAUGGUGAUCGCGUAGAGGGGCGUCCUGCAUGGAGAGAAGCAGGGGCGUGAGGUCCUGUGGACCGUGCAGGAAUGAGAAUUCUGGCAGUAGUAGAAGCAUAGAACGGUGAGAAUCCGUUCCGCCGAAAGGGCCAGGUUUCCUCGGCAAUGUUCGUCAGCCGAGGGUUAGUCGGUCCUAAGUUGUGCCGUAAUCCGAGCACGACAACAGGGAAACAGGUUAAUAUUCCUGUACCAUACAUGCAUCGUCAUGCAAAUGACCCUGACGCUUCGGGAUAUACCACGCGGAACUGUCGUUUCCGUUCAAGCGUUCAACGCGGUGGAGUACCGUCAUGGUGAGAAACCGCAGAAGACGUGAUGAGGAAACGUGGUCGAUUCCUGGAGCCCGUGAAAAAGGGCAUGUAUGACCGUACCGAGAACUGACACAGGUGCCCCUGGUUGAAAAGACCAAGGCGUGUCGGAGCUAAUUGUGGUAAGGGAACUCGGCAAAAUGGCCCCGUAACUUCGGGAGAAGGGGUGCCUGCCUGGUGAUCAGGCAGGUCGCAGUGACCAGGGAACUCCAACUGUCUAAUAACAACACAGCAGACUGCAACUCGGAAACGACUCGUAUAGUCUGUGAAUCCUGCCCAGUGCGGGUAUCUGAACACCGAGUUCAAUCGGACGAAGGACCCGUAAACGGCGGGGGUAACUAUGACCCUCUUAAGGUAGCGUAGUACCUUGUCGCUUAAUUGGCGACUUGCAUGAAUGGAACAAUGAGAGUUCUACUGUCCCUACCACAAGCCCGUUGAACCUUUUAUCCUAGUGCAGAAACUAGGGACUCCUGAUGGGAAGUGAAGACCCCGUGGAGCUUUACUGCAGCCUGUCGGUGUAGUACGGUAUUGCAUGCGCAGUGUAGAUGGGAGACGUCGAACCGUUCCUUCCGGGGAACGGGGAGUCGCCAAUGAGACACCAUCCCUGCUCUGCUGUACUACUCACUCUUCUUCAGUGAAGAGGACAUCGG